rnacentral:rRNA from 1 species
AGAACGAACGCUGGCGGCAUGCCUAACACAUGCAAGUCGAACGAGACCUUCGGGUCUAGUGGCGCACGGGUGCGUAACGCGUGGGAAUCUGCCCUUAGGUUCGGAAUAACUCAGAGAAAUUUGAGCUAAUACCGGAUGAUGACGUAAGUCCAAAGAUUUAUCGCCUAGGGAUGAGCCCGCGUAAGAUUAGGUAGUUGGUGGGGUAAAGGCCUACCAAGCCGACGAUCUUUAGCUGGUCUGAGAGGAUGAUCAGCCACACUGGGACUGAGACACGGCCCAGACUCCUACGGGAGGCAGCAGUGGGGAAUAUUGGACAAUGGGCGAAAGCCUGAUCCAGCAAUGCCGCGUGAGUGAUGAAGGCCUUAGGGUUGUAAAGCUCUUUACCCGGGAUGAUAAUGACAGUACCGGAGAAUAAGCCCGGCUAACUCCGCGCCAGCAGCCGC